rnacentral:rRNA from 1 species
CUAGGGGCCCUUCUCGGGUUACCGAAUUCAGAUAAACUCCGAAUGCCAUGUACUUAUACUCGGGAGUCAGACUGCGAGUGAUAAGAUCCGUAGUCGAAAGGGAAACAGCCCAGACCACCAGUUAAGGUCCCCAAAUAUAUGUUAAGUGGAAAAGGAUGUGGGGUUGCUUAGACAACCAGGAUGUUGGCUUAGAAGCAGCCACCAUUGAAAGAGUGCGUAAUAGCUCACUGGUCGAGUGACCCCGCGCCGAAAAUGUACCGGGGCUAAACAUAUUACCGAAACUGUGGAUGAACCUCUUUAGAGGUUCGUGGUAGGAGAGCGUUCUAAGGGCGGUGAAGUCAGACCGGAAGGACUGGUGGAGCGCGUAGAAGUGAGAAUGCCGGUAUGAGUAGCGAAAGAAGGGUGAGAAUCCCUUCCACCGAAUAUCUAAGGUU